CUGGGCGGCGGCCCGCCGCUGGAUGGCGUCGACGGCCGCCUGAUCGACGAGCGCCUCGGCGAUUUCGGCCCUCCGGUGGCGUAUCUCGGCAGCGAGACGCGUCGCCGGGAUGGCACCGCUCAUGGCCUCGAUUUCGGCUUGGGCGCGCACGCGGGCCACCUCGGACGCGCGCGCACGCGCCUCCUCCAACAGUCUGGCAGCGAUCUGCGCCUGCCGCUGCUGUCGGCUCUGCACCCACUCGACGCUCCUCGAUAGUUGAUUGGCCCGGCCCUGUCUGUAGGCUGCCAUCGCCUCGGCGUCCUCGACGGGCGCAGCGGCUGAUUCCUCGCGUCCCAGGCGCACGCCGCCAACACCGCCGACAUCGUUCCGGGCGCCCCCGACCUUGCGCCCCCGACCCCGUCGUGGCUGUGUAAACCGUUCGGUCCACGCCCGACGCUUGGCUUCCUCGGUCGGCUGGGCGGCAGCGACGAGUUGGUCCAGUGUGCGCGGCCCGGCGGCGGCGGCCCGACGGUGUUGCUCUUGGCGCCAUUCGCGCUCGGACGGCGCCGGCCACGGGUUGAUGUCGACUGCCGCCGUCGACGGCAGAUCGCCAGCCGGCUCGGCGAUGGGCACGCCGGCAGCGGCGUCGCCACCAAUGCGGCGCACUGUGUCGACCUCGGUCGACCGGCUGAUGUAAUAGCGCCCGUCAGAGGAGGCGCCGGCGGGGCGUGCGCGCGCGGCGAGGCGCACGCUUCCAUCGGGUGCGGCGACAGUGCUGAUGGCCAGCGUGUAGGGGUCGCGUCCGCCCAGCGACGCCGUGACGCCCGGCUCGUCGAUGUAGGCGCGCAUAAAAGCCGCCUGAUCGGGAUCGCGCGCCGCGCUCGGGUCGAGCAUAAAGUAGUGUUGGUCCCUGAUGGCGGCCACCAGCCGGUAGGGGAACUCGACGAUGGCGCCGGGCGGCGUCUCGGGGUCGGGCGCCAGCGCGAUGGCGUACAAGGCGCCCUUUUGCAUGCCGGCGGCGUAGGCCUGUGGCGCGUUGGCAGCCGGGUUGCCGCGGUCGUAAAGCACGCCUGGUGCUGUCGGUGGCGGCGUGCGCGUCGGCGCCUCCAUGCUCUCUUGCUGCCGGCUGUCGGGCGCGCGCGCGGUGCCCGCAACAGGGAAAAAAAAAGAGGGCGUCUCUUUUCUUUGUGCGCCUUUUUCCUUUCGGCGAAAAAAAGAAAAGAGAAAAGAAAGAAAAAAAGCGCGCUGGCCAAUCCGCUUCU
rnacentral:lncRNA from 1 species